UUUUAAUUAUUAAGUUCAUAUGAAGUUGAGGUCAAAUCAAUAGGUUAUUUUGAGAAAUGCACGAAUGGGUCGAAUAAUUCAUAGAUGAAUAACAAGCCGAAUACGUAUAAAUUAAGAAAUUCCUUAACUCGGAUGUUGGACUUCAAGAUCACAUGAUAGAAUAUUAAAUUACAAUCAUAUAGGAAGAAACGUGACGCAAAACGGAUGAAAAAUGAGAGAGUUAUGUCCGUUUCGGUAAGGAUUAAUGGCUAGGAAAAGUGCAGAGUUGACACGGCCGGGUGGUGAACUGACACGGCCGGGUGAAGGUUCUGUCAAAAAUAUUAUUUAUGUGAUUUAUGCGCCGUAGGCUUCGGUAUAUUAUCCGUGAACUACGACGGGCCUCCUAAACAUGAUUUCGAGUGUUUCCUUGACGGUUAUAAGUUGUAAACCCAAGUCUAAGCCUCAUGUAAUUUAUAUAAGAGUGUGAUAGAUGUAUGUAAUGAAGUUGGACAUGUAUUACAUGUAAAUGUAUACAAAAAUACGUACGGAAUACGUAGAUAUGAAUACAUGAUUGUAGGUAUGAUUAAAUGUAUAUUAGGUAUGUAGAUGUGUAUGAUUGUAAGUUUGUAUGUGUGCAAGUAUGUGCGAAUGCAUGAUUUGGAUGCAUUUGAGAAUUAGCGUUACUAAUAAUGCCCUUGGGUUUGGAAUAUAAGUUAAUUGGAUGCAUUUAAAUGGUUGACGUCCUUUUUAUGAAGAUGUAGUAAAUGAAUAUGUUGAGAUUACGGGUUUGGCUAACCAAGUUAUUAUUGAGUAUGUUUGAAAGUGCAGGUUAUGAAUGUCGGACUUUCGAAGUGUUGAUAUAAUAAUGAAACGGUUGAAUGCUGAAAGGAUAAUCGGAUUGAAGUAACUUAUGCGGUUAGAAUAUGCUAUGGACGUUUUAGUUUAUACAACAUUUUAUGUUUGGUCGUCAUCAUCUACCAACGGGUAAAUCCUCAAUUCAGGCGACUUGGAGAAUCGGAGCGAGCGCGUGUUCAUGUUAUGUCAUACCAAACGCUUCCGCUAGCCUGUUCAAAUGUUUUUAGUCCAGAAUUUGUUGUUUUGGUUCUUAGUAGUAUUUUGUCGAAUGAAUCGUAGAAUUGUAUCUAGUUUGUUUAUGUUUAAAACAGGGGUAUGCUCGUUUUAUGGACGGGUCAUGCCCGAUUUUUGUUAAAUUAUAGUAUGAUAAUAUCACAUUUAGGAAGAUGAAAUUUUGGGCGUAACAAGUUGGUAUCAGAGCCUAGGUUUGAGGGAUUCGAGCAAGAGUAAUAGUGCUUGAACUCAAACCGAAGGCUCGUGCAAAAGUGUGUGCUCGCUCCGAGGUCGCCAAUGAGGUAAAAUUUUAAGUAUUCGUUUAAUAUGAGUAUGAUGUAAAUAUUUAAGCUAUAUAUAUAUAUACGGGAAGUAAAGUUGGAGGUUAAACGAGAAGUUCAGGGACCGUAUGGCUGGAACCGAACCGAAAAACGAUUAAUAAGCUCAAAACAAAGAAUGCAGCGAUUUUAGUAAACGUGAGGCCGUCGCCGACGGGAUGUUAUCCGUCGCCGACGCCCCUUUUUGGGCCGACGCCCUAUUUAACUGCUUACGGGAACUCUGGCCGACGCCCUUUUUAAAAGCCCGUCGCCGACGGGCAUCUUAUCCGUCGCCGACGGCUUACGUAAUUUCAGUCCGCUGAAAUUUCAAGUUUUCAUAAUUUUAACUAACCGUCCAUCCCGGAAGCCCGAUUCACGGUUCCAUUGAGUUCUUAUGAGACUAAGUAAGCCGUGUAGGGAUAGAACAAAUUGAUAGUGAAUGGUUGUGCGUAAUGGUAUGAAACAAAAGACGAAUGUAUGAAGUGAAGCUCGAAAUGUAAGAAUGUAAAUAAGUAAUAUGGACUAAUGAACUAUGAUGUGUUGAAAGCUUAUGAUCCGUAUUAAAUGUAAACAUGACAUUGUGUAGAUGGCUGAUGCAAGCAACGUUAAUGAUGAUGAUGAUACUAAUGUGUUAAAUGUUUUGUGAAGGGUAAGUGCAAUUGUUGGAAGAGAUGAUCCGUGAAUGCGGUCUAGGACCGGCAUCGAGGCAAGUAAUGAAACAAACUGACCCCAGGUACGUAAACCUAACGUAUGGGCGUAUGAAAUGGUAUGGUUAAGCAAGUGAAAGAAAAAUUUUGAACAAAUUAUGAUAACGACAUGGUAAAUAAUUUUUGAAAAUGUUACACGAGCCGAAACUGAAUUCUUCGGACAUAAGGUGGCAAUUACGCGAAGACACGAAACUAGUACGUGGAAUGUGUACCUGGCCAAUACACAAGAAACGUAUGAAGUUCGUGAGACCGUGAUAAUUAUUACAGGUAUGUCCGAUAGAGUUUGGUAGCAGCUAGGCGUGUGGGUGAAAUGGGUAGUAAGACUCUCGGGGGAUUGAGAGUACCUUCAAGGAAUGAAAUAUACGAAUGCAAUGCUUGAAUCCGCGAGACGGAUUCAAGGAAUGAAGGAUACGAAUGCAAUGGUUGAAUCCGCGAGACGGAUUCAAGGAAUGAAGGAUACGAAUGCAAUGCUUGAAUCCGCGAGACGGAUUCAAAGAAUGAAGGAUAUGGAUGCAAUGCUUGAAUCCGCGAGAUGGAUUCAAGGAAUGAAGGGCAUGAAUGCAAUGUUCAAAUCCGCGAAGCGGACUUAAGGUAUAAAAAGGCGAAAACUAGUCUACAUAAUAAGAGUCGCGUCAAACAAGUUAUAUAAGUAAAUGUAAUGCAAAUGAACAAAGGAAUGGUAAGAAGGAAGAUAUUCGAAUGUGAAGUGAUUACAUACCAAACAAAUAAAUGUUCCUUUAGUGAUAUGAUUCAGUUUAUGUUUGAACUUCUAUAUAUAUAUAUGAAUAUAUUAUGCAAAUGCGUUUCAUACAAGAAUAGUCGAUAGGACAAAUGGGGGCGUCAGAUGGCGAUUGCCAUUUGAACUCGGUAGCUAAUGUUUCGAUUGUUAAGUUUUAUACUCAUAGGUAAGCUUGAUGAAUAGACGCGCAAUGUCACUAAUCGGAAUGGAACGAUUACCGUAAGGUAUGGAUAACGAAUCAAUGGAAUUCACUUCCGUCAGGUACGUAUAAAAAGGGUUGUAAGUGUAGUAUGAGGUUAUGACUCGACUAGAGAGGGAUGCGUCAGAGUAGAAUAUGUAUAUACAAACCGUAAUGAAAAAUGUGAAGUGAACUUCUAAAUGUUCGUAAUGAUCGUCGGGCGGUAUUGAACCUGAAUGCACAUUACUGUGGAAAUUCUGAUAGAAUAUAAGAGACGGCAAGUAUCGUUAAGAAUUGCUAACUUUGAUGCUCGGCUUGUUGGCCAUGUUCAUUUGAACAAAAUAUUGUAGAAAAGAUACGUAUGGCAUGUAUAACAACAGUAACCUUGGAAAUAAUACUUGGUCUUCGAAUUAAGUACGGAUAAGUAAGUUGAAGAAGGGUGACUUUGAUUUAAAUAAUAAGUCUUUGAAUGAUUAUAGUAUGCAUAUGAUAAUGUAUUGACCCCCCUAUGAGUUUAAAGGUAAUCAAAAGUAAUGAUAGAAAUGGAAUAUUUGGAUGGCUCGUGGUGAACGACAUGAAAGAUAGCAUAGGAUGUAUGAGCAGUAUGAAAUUAAACCGAUUUAUUUUGGUUAGUAAAUAUAUGAAUGUAAUAUGCUUAAAUAGGAUGUUAGAAACAAGCCAUAGACUUAGUUUGUAUGAUUAAUAACUGUAUACACUUGGAAUAAGUUCGAUGAAUGAAGCGCUAGUAAUGGUAUGUGCUAGGAGCUAGCAUUAUAAAGUGAAGACGACACUAAUAAGAGCUCUGGAUCAGAUUCUGACUUUAAUGCGAUUGUGAAAGUAAUUUACUUGAUUUGAGAACGGAGGGACAAUGCGUACAAAGACGUUUAUGAAUGAAUAAAACUCUUGCCAAGAUCUCGAAUGCAUCCCUGUGGUAGUAUGCAUUGUGAAUGAAAAGAUGAAAAAGUAGGAAUAGAACUGGUCCAGUUGGAAUGAGAAAGGUUUUGGGGACGAAACCUCUUUUAAGAGGGGUAGACUUGUAACGCCCCAAAAAUGAAAACUCAAUAAAACAAGUGAGGAUAAAUAACUGUAAUGCCCCAAAAUCUAAUAGUUGAUAAAUAAGGCAUUUACUAGAAUUAUGUGUGAAAUAACUUAACUAGGAUUAGUUAACCUUGUUUGUUUUUCAAUGUUAGUUACAAGAAGGAAAUAAAUAAACUAUCAAAACUACAAGGGUUGAACUUGUACAUUUUAAUUAAAGUUUGGUUAAGUAGUGGAAGAUCACAAACAUCAGACAUAAGUCUGAUGUUGGUGUCGAUGCAAGCCAAGGGCCAAGAAGGGUUUCUCAUGAUGAUGAAAUGUUGAAGAAUUGAAGCAAAAUCCAGCCUUAAUUCUCUUGCAUGUGUAGAGAUUCUACAUCAAAAAGCUAUAUGAAACAUGUGGAACGUGUCAAGGAGAGCUCAAGCAUAGGAGGAUAACGGGUCAAGAUAAGGCAAGGUGACAAAUACACUUAUUGGAGUAGUCAAGGUAAGUGAUUUCUAUAAUCACUUCUUUAGUUGUUUAAGUAAUAUAAUGUUUUAAUUAUUAAGUUCAUAUGAAGUUCAGGUCAAAUCAAUAGGUUAUUUUGAGAAAUGCACGAAUGGGUCGAAUAAUUCAUAGAUGAAUAACAAGCCGAAUACGUAUAAGUUAAGAAAUUCCUUAACUCGGAUGUUGGACUUCAAGAUCACAUGAUAGAAUAUUAAAUUACAAUCAUAUAGGAAGAAACGUGACGCAAAACGGAUGAAAAAUGAGAGAGUUAUGUCCGUUUCGGUAAGGAUUAAUGGCUAGGAAAAGUGCAGAGUUGACACGGCCGUGUGGUGAACUGACACGACCGGGUGAAGGUUCUGUCAAAAAUAUUAUUUAUGUGAUUUAUGCGCCGUAGGCUUCGGUAUAUUAUCUGUGAACUACGACGGGCCUCCCAAACAUGAUUUCGAGUGUUUCCUUGACGAUUAUAAGUUGUAAACCCAAGUCUAAGCCUCAUGUAAUUUAUAUAAGAGUGUGAUAGAUGUAUGUAAUGAAGUUGGACAUGUAUUACAUGUAAAUGUAUACAAAAAUACGUACGGAACACGUAGAUAUGAAUACAUGAUUGUAGGUAUGAUUAAAUGUAUAUUAGGUAUGUAGAUGUGUAUGAUUGUAAGUUUGUAUGUGUGCAAGUAUGUGCGAAUGCAUGAUUUGGAUGCAUUUGAGAAUUAGCGUUACUAAUAAUGCCCUUGGGUUUGGAAUAUAAGUUAAUUGGAUGCAUUUAAAUGGUUGACGUCCUUUUUAUGAAGAUGUAGUAAAUGAAUAUGUUGAGAUUACGGGUUUGGCUAACCAAGUUAUUAUUGAGUAUGUUUGAAAGUGCAGGUUAUGAAUGUCGGACUUUCGAAGUGUUGAUAUAAUAAUGAAACGGUUGAAUGCUGAAAGGAUAAUCGGAUUGAAGUAACUUAUGCGGUUAAAAUAUGCUAUGGACGUUUUAGUUUAUACAACAUUUUAUGUUUGGUCGUCAUCAUCUACCAACGGGUAAAUCCUCAAUUCAGGCGACUUGGAGAAUCGGAGCGAGCGCGUGUUCAUGUUAUGUCAUACCAAACGCUUCCGCUAGCCUGUUCAAAUGUUUUUAGUCCAAAAUUUGUUGUUUUGGUUCUUAGUAGUAUUUUGUCGAAUGAAUCGUAGAAUUGUAUCUAGUUUGUUUAUGUUUAAAACAGGGGUAUGCUCGUUUUAUGGACGGGUCAUGCCCGAUUUUUGUUAAAUUAUAGUAUGAUAAUAUCACAUUUAGGAAGAUGAAA